rnacentral:tRNA from 6 species
CGAGAAAAGAGGGAAUCGAACCCC